ACAUCCUGAGAAGUGUCUCAGCCCGUUUCUGUAGAGAUUAGAGUGCAUUCAUAGAGAAGAAAACAUUAAACAACACCUGCUGUUUAUGCAUUCACCUUAAAUAACCGCUGAUUCAGCAGUGAAGCAAUCAGAACCCAGGAUUUUCUAUGUUGAGAUAUGUGUUGGCGAUGCCCUGAGCCACAUAGAUGAAGUAGAGACAAGACAAGGAGAGGGAGAAGAUGAAGGCAAGGAGGGAGCAAUUGGAGAUCUGCAUCAUCCACCGGAGCACAGACAUCUUCCUCUCCGGGCCAGCAGCCGGCUGCACUCUCAGGCCAGACUCGGAGUGACUGUCCAGGCCCUAAACUUCCAUGAAGGUGCCAGGAACCCAGAGGAUGCGGCGGAGUCAG
rnacentral:lncRNA from 1 species